rnacentral:pre_miRNA from 1 species
UUUUUAGUAUAAGUAUGCCCUGUGUAAUACAUAGGACAUACUUAUACUAAAA